AGGGUGGGACUCACCCGGCCCCCCACGCAGCGCUUGCCGCCGGGCAAGUCCCGGUGCCAGCGGCGCUUCCCGCUUUCCCUAGACAGCACCGGCUCGCCCCAAGGCCUCCGGGCGCAGCGGCAUGAAGGCGAGGCGACCGGGCUGACCUCCGGCCCCCGGCUCCGGCCCGCCCCGCGCACCGCUCCACCGCCUCUCUCCCUCCGCCAGAGGGUGGCAGAGGCACGGGCACCACCGCUCGUUGUGCCUUCCCGGCCGCCCGGGAACACCUGGAUCUCCGUGACUCCCCCAGUGCUGCCGCUGGAUUAUCGCUUUACACCUACCACCCUUUUGCUAAAACGCGGAACAUUUGUUAUUGUACCUCCGACAGCCCCAAACCCACGUUUCCCCACCCCGCCUCCCAAGCAAUGCUUUGCUGACACGUCGCGGCAGUGGACGCGGUGCUAGGUACCGAUGUGCUGUGGUAACUACGCAGACGCCCAAACUCUGCUCACAGAGAUGACACGUAAGGGGCUGGGAAGGAUCCACAAUGAGACGGGGAGGAGGGAAGCAGCCAGGUGGGGCUGGAGGAUUCAGCCACUUGAGGAGUGCAGGGCAGCGGGGACGUGUUCUUCCUGAGGGGCUCGAAGGGAAGGGCAGAAACUUCAACUCCUUUAUGGAAAGGAGAGCGACAGACUGAGGCAUUAUGCGGCCAAGGCGACUGUUGUGCCGAACAGACCUACUGUCUAGGAAGUGGACACGGAGGACAACCAACGAGAACAGCAGAGGCAGCUUCCAGACACACCGAGGUGCUGGCCGCCUGGGAUGACGUGACCUUCUACCAUCUAUUCCAGGGGAUAAUUUUUAAAGGUGCUUUCCGCCAAGUGGGAAAAGCGUUUGCACAGUGUGGAGCAUGAGAAAUAUUAGUAUAAUUGUAGCUGAUUGUCUCUACAAAUGGAAAUACUUUUAGAGGAAACCGUGGCAGGAAGGCAGUGCAAGGAAUCAACGAAAGAUCACGCAAAGACCUCAGAAGCCAUCCAUUACUGAAAGGUGCCACCUUCCCACACCGAGCCCCGGAGCAAACAUCGUUCUUUAGCACCGAGGGGAAGCCGCCGGGUCACGAAGCUCCGCCGCCGCAGCCCCUCGGAGCUGCAGCGAUCGGCACCACGGACAGCGCCCGUCGCGCCCUGCGUCGCCCGAGCGAUUCCGAACGACCGCGAGCGAUUCCGAACGGCCCCGAGCGGCCUCGCGGGAGGCGGAGAAGGCAGAGCGCCGCACGCCGCCGGCCCCUCCGGCCGGGCAGAACGCUGAGGGGAGCGACGCAGACGUGACUUGACGCCGCCCCCGCGGCCCUCCAGGUGGCGCUGUACCUCAAGGCCAGGACCGGCAGGCCGGGAGGCGGCAGGCAGCGGCCGGCGCUCCGUGCCCCCGCCAGAGACCGAGCCCAAAACCCAUCCUAGGCGCACGGCACCCCAUCUCCGGAGGUACACUCCGUGCUCAUCGCACCGCUUCGGGCCUUUGAACGCCCCGCAGUGCACACUCUUUUCAUAACCACGUAUACCACAGGGUGUGCGCCCAGCUGCUGUGGCGGUCCUGAUGUUGUAUUGAGGUGCUUUUGUCUUUACUGCCUCUGAUUCUUUUGAUAUAUAUAUAUUUAAAUCACGCGGUUAUAAUCAUGUAUAACCAAAUACAUUAUUAUAACCCAUGCUGACUGCAUCCGGUAUUUUUUUCCUUAGCCACCAUCUCUGGUACACAGCUAUGUCUCAUUUAGCCGUGUGUUUGCUGGAUGGAAUAAUUCGGAUGACAAAUUACAAAAGCAGAACUGGAAAACAGUUCAAAACAAAGCUAUUCAGGAGUGUUCUGGCUUUCACUUGCACUGAUAAAGAAUACAGAUCGAUAUUACAACAGGUCCACUGCAAACAAAAAUGAACAUGCUGAGAAAAAUUAACGAAUGAUUGUAGUACUUCCUUGUCCCUGCCCAAAAAGAUCUACAAAUGGAAAUCAGGUGGAGACCUCUAUUCCAAAGAUAACUAACUUGUGUCCUCCGUUUUAUGACACCUCAGUAACGUUCACUGAAGUUCAGAGGUAGCUUUAGGUUUUGCUAUUGACGGGUACUGAUUGGGCACAUUGAUUGGGUACUGAUGUACCCAACUGCCCCAAUUGCAAGGACCCUGCCCAGCUCUUGGACUUCAGAGGCAGCUCAAGGCGAGCUGCCAGCUAGAACACUCAGCGCUGCUGUGAUGAAGGGCAUUUGGAGAAGUCUGAUCUGAAGCACGUUGUUUUAUGGACUUUGUGGCUUCUUGCUGCAGAACGUCCCCGUCCUCAUCUGUGCUGGCAUGUGUUGCUGUCCCUUUUGAUCUGCUUCAUCUGAAAAAUAUCCCCAAGUAUAAUCCACAUCCCAAAACAACAGCAGGAACAAAUCCCCGUUGUUAGUACCCGCCAGCAAACAUGGAAGAAAAGAACCUCCUUAACUUCCAAACCAAAAUAAAAAACAACAGAAAGAUUUAUCUAGAUAGACAUAAAAAAAUACUUAAAUUGUGGAGCUGUAAUUAUAGCAUUAACAAAUAGUAACAGCACUAUACCCAGUAAAUCUGCUCCCUGUUAGUUUCAGGGACUUGCAACUGUUUAUCCUGUGUUUAAAAUACAUUUUAUUUCUAGCCUCCAUCAUUAACCCUGUGGAACUGAGACAGCCAAUGCCCCAAGUCUCCCCUUGUGAUUUGUUGCUGUAAUCGUUACACGCCUCACUGAGCUGUAUCUUUUUAUCCCAUUGGAGGGCAUCAGUUGACAAUUAGAACAUUCAGUAAUUUCAGUAAUGCUGCUGCAGGAGAUAACACAGUUUGGCUCUGCAGUCCCAGAAUGAAUGUAUAGAGAUAAACUCUGGGAUAUUUUAAUAUAUGAUCUAUUUAAAUUAAGCGUACUUCAUAAAGAAUCUUCUGGAGACAGAAAACAUGGGCUUUUCUUGUUCUUAAACCAUAAAUCACUCUCAGGUAUGGGCUUUCCUAGGUCUCAAUGGCUACCAGAAUCACUGUAGCUGUGCAUUUGCCCCCCCCUUUCCCACCCCCUCCUUUCUUUCUUCCCCCUUUUCUUUUCUCUGUGAUGGUCAGCUCAGGGUUUGGCUUUAAAAGCUUGGCAGCUUCACCUAAAGAAACAUUAGCACCAGUGAAAUAUCAGGCCUUCUGCAGCAACAUACUUGAAAAGCCUGAUCCCUCUGCUAUUUUUUAGCUACAUAACAGAAAUUUACACACACACAUAUACAGAUGCAUGUGUGUGUAAAUAUAUAUAUAUGUAUAUAUAUUCUCCCCCCACCCCCCAAAAAAAGGAAGCUUCAGUGCACCUGGCUGAAAUAAAAGUGGUUUAUGAAGAAACAGUUUGUAGCUAACACACAGCGAGGUGCAAACCAGGCACGUUGUAGAAACACAAUAUAGAAGCAGGACAAUAUGAAUGGAUACUUUAUCUAUCAUAGAAAAAGGAUAGGUAGGUAAGAAUUUUUUUCCCCUCUAUUUGAAUGAGCAGUUUAUAUUUCCAAAUCUGAUGAGUUUCAUUAUUUGAAUUCUCACAAUAAACAGACGCAUCCUAUUUUGAGGAAUGGAGGAGUGCAUGAGCUUUAAGCAAAGCCAUCAGCUGUUACACAUGCUUCUUUUCAGUAUUUAGUAUGGGAGAUUUUAUGAGAAAACUAAGGAUCAGUUUUAGGGAAAAUGCACUUCCCCUAUAUCAAAUGACAUGAUUCAAACUGAACACAUUUGCUCCCAAACUGAAAUUCAGAUUAACGUUACAGAUGCAUAUUCAGAUCUAUUAACGUAAUAAAUUCCUGUCCUCUACUUUGACCCUUCAGAACUUCUCUCCAAGUGUUCAUUUACGGAAUGCUCUUGGCUCCCCUUGCUGGCAUUUUGAUAGCUGCUCUAGAAGGAGACAAGCAGAGGAAGAAGCAGAGCUGCAGCCAUCUCAGUGGGUGUUAGCUAAACACAGAGCUAAAACAAGAAGCACAAUCUAGCUGUGAUAUUUUUAAGGUUUUUUUAAAGCUUCUGCACAGCAGAUUAAGAGCGGCACUACUCUGAACAAUGAAUUGAGUAUAAUAUCUCUCCACAAUUUUAAUGGAGAUUUAAUGUUGUAAGAGUUUCAAGGAAAUGUCUGGGAAGGGAUAGUUCUCUGGAAUUUCUGAUGGCCACAUUCUCUACAGAGCAGUUCUUUCAGAGCAAAUGAACAAGAUGAAGUCAGCGGAGCCACACUACUGCAGGAUCAUGUAAUGCUGAGAAGAAUGGACCUCCUAUAUUUGGCUGCUGAAGUGAACACACGAUGUUUUGUAACAUGCUCAGUAAGCAGCUGUCAUGCGUUUGACUGCUCUUUGCAGGGAUCAGCAAAAGCAAAGCACUACUGCUGCUCCUGGUCAUUCUGGAAGGCAAAUGAUUUUGAUGCAAGUGGGAAAAAGGAAGCCAUUUGCACACUCCUUUGGGAUUAACGUGCAGUAGCUGAGAACACCUGACAUUCUCAGUUUGUUAUCUUUCUUGGAUAAUCUUUGAUGAGGGAACCACAUGCAUUUUCCUCUCUCUUCUUCACAUGUGCAUCCUAGACUUAUGGAGAGCUGUCUAAAAUAAGGGAGAAUGUGGCAGCGUGACUGACAUCUCCUUUCCAUACAGAUGAGAGAUCUGCAUGUGGAGAUCACAGGCACGCCAUCUGAUCCUGAAUGAAGCAUGUGGGAUAUGACCCCAAGCGAAGAUAUGGGCUCUGGUCUAAUAAAAUUUCUUUUAGCCACCUUUGUAAUUAGAGCCUGUUUUGCAAGUGUGCUCUAUGAUGGCUGGUUCGUGUUAAAAGGAAAAUGAAAAAUGUUUUUGAGUAGGAUAGAGGUUAAUACUGGUAUUUUGUUUAAAUAGCUCAGUACUGCUGCAAGGACAGGGACUUGCAGAUAAUAGGAAUUUAUUUUUACAGACUACCUUCUGAAAGCACAAAAUCAUAGGCACACGCUGUGGAUUCUGAUGAAGCUGGUGAUGUGGAUAUUUGUAAGUAGAAAUAUUUAACUUAUGAAUAUUACGGCAGUUUAGCAUAUUUGAAUAUUAUUUUUCCCAUUGUGGUUCAUCUUUCCUCCCAUACUAAAUGCUGUGAUCACACCAUGCUCACUUAGGACAUCUCUGUCACUGUCGCGGCAAAAGUCUGUGAUUCCCUGGCCACAGGACAUUUCUAAUGUUAAGAAAGUUUGCUGUUUGUUAUGGGAGAGGUUAGCAGGAAGGACAAAGUAUGAUGUUGCCUAAACUGAGUUACUUGCUUAGUGUGGGCAUCAGUGGCCAGCAAAAGUAGCAAGUGCUGCACUAAAGAAGGGGGACUGAGGUGAGCUAGGUGAAGGCUAGGGAAGUUCCUACCUUCAGGCAGAUUAUUUUGUUAGGCUAGAGAGAACAACUAAAUCCAAACGGUAAUAAAUCUAUGCUCACUUGAGGAUGGAGCAGGCCAGGGUUUGACCACAUGCUGCUGCACCCACUGUUAUGCCAAUCACGGGGAGGAAAAAAAACCCACAACAAAAUACAUAUAAUGUGUAUUUCUAUGAUUCUGUGACUGUGACAUCUGCAGAAGACUGGACAGUAGAUGCAGCUGCACAGGUAGGGCAGCACUUCUGCUGGCACAGCUUCUCUUUUAGCCUAGAGGAGGGGAGGAAACGGUGCAGGAGAAGAAGGGUUGCUCUAGUGAUGUACACACUAUAAUGGCUUCUAGCAUAUAUUGUUAUACAGGUAAACUGCUCCUUGUUUAGACAGAGAUGAGUGGGAACAGCUAUCAUAAACCAGAUUAUUAUUUCUUUGGCAGUUCAAUUAUGUCAAAGGAAGUUUGAGCCUUACUGCCACUGAUGGAGAAAUUUGAACCCGUACAACUCUGUACAAGGCCUCUGCACCACCAAAGGGUGUGCUUGGACUGUUUAUGAGUACUGACUCAGGUCAUACAUCAGUACAAACUCACUGAGUAUUAGGAGCACCUGGCCACCUACUUCAGUGCUUGGCAGCGUGGGAUUCCCUGCACAGCCACCUGUGGGGGAGAUGGAUCCUUACCACGUACCUGUGUGCACAGUGAGCACACGGGGCCUGAGCACUCAGCUGUGCUGCUGUGACAGGCAUGGCUGAGCAGAGGUCUGACUGCCAGCUGGGUCAGGGACGUGCUGGGAUUUCACGAGUGCUUCAGUGAAUGUCUUCCGCAGCAAAAUUAAGAGAUGAGAAGAAAAAUCAGUGACCUCCAGGUCAAAGGCCAGAUCUCACUAUCCAUACUCCCCCACUGAACUGUCACAGUUACAAGGUCAGAACUCAAUUUUCAUUGCCCAUAAAUGAACACACCCUGUAUGACUUGAAAUCAGUUGGGAGUGAAUAUUCACAAGAAAUAAAAGCAGUAAUAUUUUUUAAAAGAACCUUUGAAUUACACACAACUCUGCUAGUGGUUUGCUGUGAUCAAAGCCAGUCAGCUCACCAGCGCAGGGCUUUGGAUCCUUAUUACACUCGUGAGACUUACCUGAGGACUGGCAGUCUGGCUGCUUGUCUGACAGCUCCUGGUCCUCAGUGCAGUUUACACGCAAGGCUACUGAAGGUACCUGUGAGGCGAUCAUUUCAUGUAUGUAUUUUUAAUAAGCUUGUCAGGAAAAUCUGCGAGGUGACUCCAUCACAUGCCAGAGUGGUGGGCCACACAUCUCUACCAGGGAAUUCACAAGAAUCUCAAAGAGGUAGGAAAUAAUUGGAGAAACUGAAAGUGGUAAGAUCUGAUAACAAACUCGGUAUUGUUCUUAUGUUUAUCCCCACUCAGUGCUGGGAUAGGCUGACAAGAUCUACAAAAAGUAACAAGGCUGAUUAAGAAGUGCCCAGAUGUGCUGUAGGCACCUGAACAGAGAGAGGGAUUUACCCUACUGAGAAACUUGAGAUGUCUACCAAAGCAACUGCAAUAUCACUGAGCAGUAGUAACACCUGCAUUUUGUCUGAUAUAAAAGUCUCAACAUCAGCAUUUUAUAGUCCCUACUUCUUCUGUGUUUACAAUUAAUUUUAGGAAUAAGUGCAAAUUUACACAUUGAAAAGUUGUAGUUACUGUAAAACUUCAUACAAUCUCUUAAAUAAAUGAAUGUUUUUUUUUAAAAAUACACCUAUGAUUUAGUAUGAAAAGAAGGAUCCCACUGAGAGUUUCUAGGGAGGACACGUCUCACAGUAUAGGUUGAAAGAACUGCUGGCAUGUGACUUUGGGAUCCAGCAGAAAUAUACAAAUGCAUCAUAGCAACAGUGAGUAGAGAGAAAUUCACAAUAGGAAAUAAGGGGAGCUGAAUGGCGUGGCAUCCAGACACAGAAAUAGGGGCACCUGUGGGACAGGAUCCAUCCAGAACAAUGUUAAAAAUUGUCUAAGGUGGCUUAGCACGCUGGCCUAUGCUCUGAUACUGAUUUCAUGCAAAAUUUCCCAUUUCUUAAUAAAGCGGGUUUCUCAGUAUGUAACCAAUGGAGCGAGGGUUACUAUUUCAGCCAGAGCCGGUAGUUUUCUGGUUUUUUAGCACCAAAAGAUUUGAAAGAAAAUCCUUUACCUUUCCUGAAACAAAAGCAUCACUCCGACCCCAUGUUCUGUCCUUUUCACUUACCUUAUGAACAACGCAUCUAUCAUCUUCUGAUGGGCCUAGAAAGUAAACCCUUGGCAGCUAUGUUUAUUAUCCCACAACAGUAGUUGAGAAACUCCUAUUUUCUCCUUGUUCCAUGAAAUACAGUUUUAUACUCCUGUUGCACUACUGCAGUGAGGACCCCAGCCAGUGUGGACCAGAAGGUGAAUUCUGCAGCCCCCUCUCAGGUGAAAGUCUGAUUCAAACCAACAAUGACAACUUGGUUGAGGUGAAGCCCCAAAAUAGGCUCAUCUGAUUUUGCCCUUAAGUAAAAACAACCGGAUAACAAUAUGUUAAAAAAAAUGGUCUGGAGGACAAAGUGUUGUUAAUAUUGCCAGCUAAAAGUUUGUCAGAGUGCAAAGGCCACUUCUUAAUACAGAAAACGUGCCCAAUCUUGAGUUCCUAAGUUGUAUUACAGCUUCUUUUUUUGAGUAAAGUUUAAUUAAUUUGAAUUAACUAUGAGAUGAAUUAGUUUAUUUGAUGUGUCUAUUCUACCAAUGACAUUAAGAUUUAAAAUUCAGGAUUGAAUUGACCUUGAGCAGCAUACGUACUCAAACUGUGUGAUAAAGAAGAAUAUUAAUCAUUUAAUUUGAUAAAAUGAACAGCUGUUCUAGUUGAUUGGAAACAGCUAAAAGUGUAAAACGUAUUUUGUGAAUGCAAAAUUAAAAGUUAAUUUUAUUAUAGAGUGCAAUUUGCCAACUAGAAAUACAUUCCUGAGAUGUAAGCAAUAUAUUUUUGUAACGCUCUACCCACACAUCAGAAAGGUUACGUAGAUUUAAAUGCCAUAUUACUAAAAAAGUUGAACGAUUUCAAUGGAAAAGUGAUCAUAUGAUUUAGCUAUUUUGAGAUGGAUAUGAAACAGCUCUGACAGAUUUGCCCUCCGUCUCCAAUGCACAGUUUAGAAGCUGCAGUGACAUAACAUUUCAUUAAAUAUAAACUGCUACUGUCACUUACCUUGUGCCACGGAUGCCUAGUUUUCUACUUUUCCAUAAUUUCGUGGGAUGUUGGUAUAUAUUUAUUAUUACUGUUUUUGUUAUUCUUUUUUUUUUUUUUUAACUCAGAGAUUAAGAUUUUAAUUAGCAUUUGACAUCAUAGAUUUUCAACGAAAUGCAUCUCUUCUAACAGGCAUUUAACUCAUUUUGGUUGCACAUAUUUUCAACCUGUGCAAUUUCAUGCUGUAAAUGUACCUAUCAUGUGGACAUUAUACAAAGUGCGAGGGUACAAUAUUAACACAACAUAUCUACACAUAAAGUCAAGCACCUCCCCCACCUUCGAGCACGGUGCUGGCACUGCCCGGGCAGUAGUUUUCUUCUUAAUGCCUGAAGUGUGAACCCGCAGUAACCAAGCGAGCGGUGGAAGUGUCGGCGCAUUGGUACCAGUCCUGUUGCGAGGAGUGACUUAGAGCCCCAGAGAUUCUGGCCAGACCUGUCAGCACAGAUUGCUGGGUAGGCAUACCUCAGCUCAUCAUCUAACUGGAGAACAGGUUUCCAUAAUGGCCCAGCUUAGAUGUGACUUUCAGGCUGUUUUAUCUGCUCUCUCAGCGCUGCUCCCCACUCCCUAUUCACGCUGAACUCAUGCCAGAAGGCAGCCAACACACUGCUCCACCUUAUGUUAGUACCUUGCCUUGGUCUGGGCACUUAGCAUAGCAGAGAAAGGCUGCUAUCCCGUGGCCAUCUUUGAGCCAUUAUCCAUCAUGUAAGAGGAUCUUUUGUACUCUGGGACACCACCAUUCCCCCUCCCCAGAUACCAACAGAAGCUCUCCCAUUACUGUCCGUUUGAGGCACAUCUGAUCUGUGUACAGAACCGAAAGACUACUUACUGAAAGAGGCCCUUUUCUACAGCAGCCUUGAAUUCUGCAACAUUACAUUCCUACUGUAACUAAAUCUCAAAGCAAGGAAGGAGGCUGUCGCUGUGUGCCAGGAAACAUUUUGAAAAGCAGGAGCACUGUGUUUUUUCCCAAUGACGUAUUUAAGUGACAGUUGUAAACGGGAUGUGCUGUUGUCUCAACAACUUUCAGAAGUAAGGACUCCUGAACCAGUCCCAUCUGUCACUGCCUCCGCUGCCAUCGCUCACUCUGUAACACCAAAGGCACCUCGCUACUCCCCAGCACACUUCUGGAGACUGAAUGCUGGGCACUGACUGCCAACCAGCAACCCAAAGGUGUUUCUCACAGGGCUUGCUGUGGCAGGACAGGUUACAGAAGGUUCAGCAAUAGUAAAGAAUAUAACAAAUCGGGUCUUAAUUAAAUAAUUCGACCCUAACAGCAUGGUGCUAGAAAUGAAUUCAGAAUGAUAACCACUACGAUAUCGUCAAAUAGCUGUACCAUAGAAACUAUCCACUAACUUCUCAUUAUUUCAGAGGUGAGUGUUCUAGUGGUAUCAUCUCAUUAUUUCCUGAGGGCACAUCUCCCUCCCAGGCCCAGCACCCCCACGGACACACUCAUCCUCCAUGUCCCGUCACCAUCAGCGCUGCCCGGCCCGCUGCCAUGCAGACCCAGCUCUGCAGCCGGCACUGUGGGCUCGGUGCCACCACAGCUCGGGCUUGUGGGCAGCCAGGGAGAACAGCCGGCCUGGGGGUGAAAUAACGCGGUUGCUAUCUUAAAGAGCAAUGUGGAGCAGGCUUCUCCUGGUUUGUUUCAUACCAUUUUCAGUCAGAAGAGAACUUGCUAUAGUAAAAAACCUCAUAUUUUCACACAGGUUUAUGCCCGAACUCACGCGAUGCCUGACGGCACACAGGAUACCCCAAAGAUGUGGCUGCCCACAAAAAGUACCUCGAAGCAGUUCGGGGCCACACGCCGUCCCUUCUGCCGGGGCUGUCCCGCGGCGGCACACCGGGAGGACAGGGAGCCUUGCGCCCUCACAUCCUGUGCUCUGCAGACAGGUGCGUUGAGGCAGCAGCUUUGGCUUUGCCGCGCCUCAGCCGCAGCCGGGCAGGGGACGAGCGACGCGGCCCGCGCUCCUCCGACGGCCGUUCCCGCCCGGCACUGAGGUGCGGACCGGAAGGCGCGGUCCGCUUCCGCGCUCGCGGCCCCACAGUCUGUAACCGAGCAGAGCCUGAGGGGCCGCCGCGGGCCGGGAGAGGCCGGGGGUGCGGGAG
rnacentral:lncRNA from 1 species